AACGAACGCUGGCGGCAUGCCUGAUACAUGCAAGUCGAACGAUCACUUCGGUGGUAGUGGCGCACGGGUGCGUAACGCGUGGGAAUCUGCCCUUGGGUUCGGAAUAACGUCGGGAAACUGACGCUAAUACCGGAUGAUGACGUAAGUCCAAAGAUUUAUCGCCCAGGGAUGAGCCCGCGUAGGAUUAGCUAGUUGGUGGGGUAAAGGCCUACCAAGGCGACGAUCCUUAGCUGGUCUGAGAGGAUGAUCAGCCACACUGGGACUGGGACACGGCCCAGACUCCUACGGGAGGCAGCAGUAGGGAAUAUUGGACAAUGGGGGCAACCCUGAUCCAGCAAUGCCGCGUGAGUGAUGAAGGCCUUAGGGUUGUAAAGCUCUUUUACCCGGGAUGAUAAUGACAGUACCGGGAGAAUAAGCCCCGGCUAACUCCGUGCCAGCCGCCGCUGUAA
rnacentral:rRNA from 1 species